UAACAGAGAAUUGUUUCACUUCUCCAACUUUCAACUUUCAGUACCAAAUCUACAUAUUGCACCUUUAAGACUUUAAUACCUGUUGUAUCAAAAUCUGUUUCAAACAGUAAGGAAGUUUUCCAGCUGUGUCGUAUUUUAUGACUUUUAAGGGCGUUUUCACAUCAGGCAUGAUUGUUUUGUACAGUACCCGAGCAGGAUUAUCCUCCCCUCCCCUCUCCCCGAUGGUCCCCACAUUAGUAACAUUGUUCUGUGUAUCGCGGUCCACUUCCUUGAGCACGGUUGUGUUCACAUCUCACACGGACCAAGCGGACUCGGGCACGGUAGCUGAGUACAGUACGAGUACGCUACAUGUGAAACGUCUCCUGAAAACAGCUCUGAGCUCGCUGAGAAACUGAAUCCAGAGCCUACAUGAUGAACACACCACCCUGCACCCUGUGAGUUUCUCUCUACGGGACGUGGACCAUUCUCACUGUUAAAAACGCCGUUUUAAACGCCUUGUUAAAGAAGCUUCUUUGUUAAACUUGUGUGAGGUUGAAAUCAGUGUAAAUAUGUAGCUUUGUAGAGCUGAUCUCUCCAAACACUGAUGUGUUAAAUGAUUGUUCGGUUUGACCGUCUUCAUCUCUGCAGGUUUCUUGAAACAUUUUGCUCAGGAACAAUCAGAGUGAAGGUCGUCUGUGUGUGUUACUGGAGUCCACCUCUCUCACACUGCAGUCACCGUAACUCUCUGCAAGAUGAGCCAGAAUAAAAACAGACGAGUGGAGUUUCAUCUCAGUGGUGAACUGUCUUAAAUUUGUACCAAACACAGAUAAUAAUUCAAUCUGGUUCCUUCCACGUCUUUAAAAGGCCUCCCUAUGAUCACACACGUGAAAUAAAAUCAUCAGUUCAAGAUUCAUCUUCCAGUUGUGUAAAUAGUCUGCUUGUACAUUUUGUAUACAUUUUGUUUUUAUUACUAACAAACCAAAGCAAAUAA